CACCAUGUUGGCCAGGAUGGUCUCGAUCUCUUGACCUCUUGAUCCGCCCGCCUCGGCCUCCCAAAGUGCUGGGAUUACAGGCGUAAGCCACCAGCGCCCUGCCGGAACUCUUAAAUUCUGGUUCUUAAUUCCCACUCUUUUAAUUAAGCAACCUGGAAAGCAUGCUUUGCUGGCUCAUCUCCCCAAAAAUGUCCACAAAUUAUCCUUGUACUGUGUCCCUUGGAUAGUUUUUUUUUGGGGGGGGGGAAUGACAUUUUAAAAGUGACCAGAAAUUCCUGAACAAAGUAGUCAGCAAGAGUAAACUGGUGCAAGAAAGUCAGACUGGAUAAAGAAGAGAUCUGGCCUAGAACUGGAAGAAAGAUGAUAUUUUAAGGCAAGAAGCCAGCCCAACCCAAGAUAGCAGAGAUCCUGGAUUAUUUUGAGACAGACUUAGAAGGAUCCAUUUCAUGAAAAAUGUCCUAGAAAUAUGACAGUCAGACUCUCGUGUUAAAGGCCAUGUAGUCCAACCAUCCACUUGUGCUGAAAUCGCUCACAACAUCCCCACCAAGUGGUCGCCCUUGCCUACAUUCUUCUAUUUUCCGUUCUCCAGUGUUCUUCUAUCUUUUGGAGCUCUACAGAAGGCCAUGAAGCACACCAUCAGAUGUUUGAAGGUGGCACGUGGGGUGAUGGUGCUAAUAUCGCUAUACAAGCCAUGCAGGGCCCUUUCUUCAUUUUGCCCGUCUUUAAAGGGUGGAAGUUCUGGAGAGAGUCACUACAUAGAUAAUGUGAGGAGGAUCUCUGAUUCCCGCCAUGACAGAGUAACUGGAAAUGAACUUUCCUUCUCACCAUAAACAGCUAUAAAACUGGGAGAAAAUAUCCACGACACAUAUGUCUCACAAGAGACUUGUAUCCAGAAUUCUUAAAGAAUGCUUUCAAUAAUAAAAUGACAAAAAUUCCAAUUUAAAAAUGCAUAAAAUACUUGAAAAGAAUCAUGGUUACCAGGGGCUGGGGUGGUUGACAGGGGGUUGGGGAAAUGUUGGUCAAAGGACAUAAAAUUUGGUUGAAUAGGAGGGAUAAGUUCAAGAGAUCUAUUUUACAAUCUGGUGACUGUAGUUAGCAAUAUAUUGUAUUUUUGAAAAAUGCUAGGAGAAUGGAUGUAAAGUGUUCUCACCAUACAAAUGAAAACGAUGUGAGGUAAUGCAUGUGUUAAUUUGCUAUAUUUAGUCAUUCCACAAUGCAUAUAUACUUCAAAACAAUAUGUUGUACAAAGUAAAGGCAUAAAAUUUUAUCUGUCAAUUUAAAGUAAAUAAAUGAAUGAACAAAUGAA
rnacentral:lncRNA from 1 species